UUUAUGAAAUGAAUUGCAGAUAUCAAUGAUGAACUUGUCCAAGUUCAGUGAAAUGUUUGACAAAAAGAAGACCUUCAGGCCAAAGAAGAAGUUCCAGCCUGGUACGAUGAAGUAUUCUCUGCAUAAGCAGGCUCAGGCCAGUCUUAACUCCGGGAUCAAUCUAAGACAAGUUGUGAAACUUCCUAAGGGAGAGGAUUUUAACGACUGGUUGGCAGUUCAUGUCGUGGAUUUCUUUAAUAGGAUUAAUCUCAUCUAUGGAACAGUUUGUGAACAGUGUUCCAAGACAUCUUGUCCUACGAUGAGCGGUGGACCUAAAUUUGAGUAUUUGUGGCAGGACGGAGUAAAAUAUAAGAAACCCGUUCACCUGCCUGCUCCGGAGUAUAUUGCCCUGUUGAUGGAUUGGAUUGAAUCUCAGAUUAACGACGAGUCCCUCUUCCCGGUCACAACAGAUAUACCCUUCCCCAAGGUGUUCCAGCCGCAGUGUAAGAAGAUACUGACCAGACUCUACAGAGUUUUCGUUCAUGUUUAUGUUCAUCACUUCGAUCGGAUCAUGUCAAUAGGAGCUGAACCCCACGUGAACACCUGCUACAAGCACUUCUACUAUUUUGUUACGGAGUUCGAUCUAAUCAAUGAGAAGGAGUUUGCUCCGCUUCAGGAGAUGACCCGGAGAAUCUGUACAGAUAUUAUAGCUCCUCCUACUCCUACAGAACCGCACAGAAAUAUUUUGUCAGCCGAAGGGUCAUCUGCUCAUAGGCAUUGAUAUCUUUAUCAUUCAUUCGUUUAAUGUUCCAUUCUUCCUAUCAACCUACACUUCCCUUCAUCCUACUUUGAUAUUCUGAAACACAAAUAUCCGCCUUGGAGAUACUCCGCCUUCUAAAUUAUCUUGGACUCCGCCUCUAAAUAUCCAGUUCUACUACAAAAAAUCUCUGCCAAGUAUUAACUACUAUUAAGAAAAGACUUUAAGCUCCUUUUAGAAUACAUUAUCUCAGUAUGAACUGGAAAAAUCCGUUUGUUCACAGCUGAGGUCCUGUCGAAUCUCAAUCCACCAUAUUUUAUUCUUUACAUUUCUUGAAACUAUGAUGAUAUUCAAACACUUAACUAAUGAAAUUUUUAACAUGAUCUUCAUGAUUAAUGCAAAUUAUAUAAAACUAUCUUUAAUAUCGUAGAACUUGUGCAAUUUUUCAUAAGCAAAGUUGAGCUGCUUAAUAUACUGAUUAUUGAUUAAUUACUACAAUCUACCUUGUACAAUGUGAACAAGUAAUAUUAUAUCCUUUGUCUAGUCACAUAAUGAUUAACUUGUAUAAAUUGACGAUAUAACUAAGGAAUCUAAUAUUUUUAAAGAAUUGCAUGAUAAUAUUUAGUUUCAAGCUUGCAACAUGAGAAAAACUAUUUGAAUCCCGAUGUGAGCACGAAAUAACUAUAAAGUCGAAUCCGAAUAUCUGGCAUAAAUCGUUGGCCUCAUAUCUGUUCUAAAGCUUUGCAAUGAUUCAGAAAUAUUUACACAAUAAUAAUCAAACCUGUCCUUAAGGGUAUGCUUCAGCUGCCUCAGAUUGAUUAGUAACAGAAAGGCCUACUGGAAAAAAUGGGGGUGGGGAAGACAAUCUUUAAAGUAUUUUUUAUAUUAUUUUUCAAGGGUAUAUAUUUUCUAAAAUAAUUUUUCCCAUCCCUCCCCCCCUCCUAGGGUUGAAUUUGAGAAAAUAUAUAUUAUUUCAAGGAAAAAUCAAUGUAUUUUAUGUGGAAGGUCUAAAAAGAUUAGGGAAAAUAUUUGCCAGUUCAGGUCAAAUUUUUAUUUUUCCCCAGAGCAUCAAAAAUCAUAAUUCUCAAAAGAAUCCCCCUGGAUUGAUUUUAACGAUGUUAAGUUUUGCUUAAGUUUUUUUUUUUAUUUUUUCCGCCUAAAUUCGUUUCUAGGUUUUUUCAAUUCUUUCUUAAUAUUAGAAUCCUAGGUUAGAAUUCAUUCUCUGAACACUGCACUCUGCACAGUUUGUCUUUUCGUUAGCUUCUCUUCACUCGUGAAUGACUUUUGCUUCUAUUUGUUACAAAAUUAUUCAUGCUUUAUGCAUAUAUAAUAUAAAGAUUAAAACUUGUGAAUUGUAAACCACAAGUCCUAAAUUAUUUGUCAAUUCGCCCAAACUCUGUAUAUUUUGAUGUUGAAUAUUCAAGUUAAAGUCAAUUUUAUUAAAUGAAAUAGUUACUGACAAAGUACAAACAAUUUAAAUAAUCUUUUUUCUUCCUCAAUUGUUUAUUGUUUGCAGUGAUUUUUGCAGUUCUAACUUGCCACUAACUGGCAUACCAUAAUUUUUAUUUCAUCCUAGUAUUUUUAUUCACUAUCCCUUGACUUUCCUACAACCUUCAUGGCCGUUCAUAAUAUUUUUUUAAAAUAUUGUUUGUUAAACCAUAUUGUAAAUACAUUUAUUGAAUAUA